rnacentral:rRNA from 1 species
GACGUAGGGGGCGAGCGUUGUCCGGAUUUAUUGGGCGUAAAGCGUGCGUAGGCGGCUGCGCAAGUCGGGUGUGAAACCCCGGGGCUCAACCCCGGAACUGCAUCCGAUACUGCGUGGCUAGAGGUAGGUAGGGGAGAUCGGAAUUCCUGGUGUAGCGGUGAAAUGCGCAGAUAUCAGGAGGAACACCGAUGGCGAAGGCAGUGUUCUGGGCCAGUACUGACGCUGAGGAGCGAAAGCGUGGGUAGCAAACAGG